rnacentral:tRNA from 1 species
GGUCCUAUGGUGUAAUGGUUAGCACACUGGACUCUGAAUGCAGCGAUCCGAGUUCAAAUCUCGGUAGGACCU